rnacentral:tRNA from 1 species
GAGGGUAUAGCUCAGUGGUAGAGCGUGUGCUUAGCAUGCACAAGGUCCUGGGUUCAAUCCCCACUGCCUCCA